rnacentral:rRNA from 1 species
CGGGGGGAGCAAGCGUUGUUCGGAUUUACUGGGCGUAAAGGGCGCGUAGGCGGUCAGCACAAGUCAGUUGUGAAAUCUCCGGGCUUAACUCGGAAAGGUCAACUGAUACUGUGCGACUAGAGUGCAGAAGGGGCAACUGGAAUUCUCGGUGUAGCGGUGAAAUGCGUAGAUAUCGAGAGGAACACCUGCGGCGAAGGCGGGUUGCUGGGCUGACACUGACGCUGAGGCGCGAAAGCCAGGGGAGCGAACGGGAUUAGAUACCCCGGUAGUCCUGGCCUUAAACGAUGGAUGCUUGGUGUCUGGGGUUAUAUAGUCUCCGGGUGCCGCAGCUAACGCGUUAAGCAUCCCGCCUGGGGAGUACGGUCGCAAGACUG